rnacentral:lncRNA from 1 species
UUUUCUCUCUUUCUCUCUCUAAAUUAUCGAGCGUAUUCUUGUGAGUAUACUUUGAGUGUUGCUAUACGGUGCGGGUUUCUGUCAGCACUAUACCGAAAUUCAGUCAGAAGUACGGUUAUUUUGAGGUAAGGGGUAUUAUUUUCUUCUUAAAUGAUAUUUUUUCUUCAAUAUCAUUAUGCCGAAGUAUUGGUGAACUUUUUUAUCAAAUUUGGAACUUGUUGUGUCGGGGUUACUAUUCACGUAUACGGCACUAUUCACGUAUACGACACUAUUCACGAAUACGGCACUAUUCACCGAAAAAUAAAAAUUUUUCUUUUUGUCCAAAAUAUCUAUUCUGGAUACUAGCUUUGAUUGUAUCCAUGUUUUGAUCAUUCUUGAAUUUUACACCAAUAUGAUUAUUUUCGAAGUAUUUUUGGACAUGGGUAAAACAAAGUACGAAUCCUUAAUCCUUAAUCCUUGUCAUUUUGUUUCACUGGAUUCGUUUCUUUAAAAAUGUUUUUCAUCAUCCUCAGUCCUAAAUGGUGAUAUAAAUGAAUAUCUUUGGCCUGUAGUGCAAAGAUGAACGAUUAACUGAUGAAUAUCUUUGGCCUGUAGUGCAAAGAUGAACAGGUGUUGAGAUGAACAUGACCAACUGGUGAUACAAAUGAAUAUCUUUGGCCUGUAGUGCAAAGAUGAUUAAAGAUGUAUAUUGAUUGUUAUUACAGGGAUAAACUAUUGAUGAUGGACUUUUAAACCUUAGAAGACAGUAGAAUUCUUUCUCUACGUGACUCUUCUAAUGGAUUGCUGUUUCCGCUGCAUUUGUUGAUCUAAAACUUGUUGUCUAUUGUAUUCUAUUAGAUUUUUCCCUGUUGAAGACUAACGAUAAUUUGUUGUAUAUUAUCUUAGUCAUAAUAUUCUUUACUGGGCUAGUUGAGCUCACCCUUUUCCUUUUUGUUCCAUUUUUCUUCUCAGGAGGUGAGAACAUAGCAGGAUCGAGUCGGGGUAUGGAGUGAUGGUUCUAGGAAGAUGUUUUAGUUGUCCUCACUAUUUCUGUAAAAUAGUGUAUGAAUAAUUAAUGAGGACUUAUUUGGGUGUGUAUAUUGUCUAGAAGACAAUAUUUGUAUUCAAACUCACAGUUGUAUUGUCGUAUUCUACACGACAUCUGUAUU